rnacentral:rRNA from 1 species
GGUUAAGCGACCAAGCGUACACGGUGGAUGCCCUGGCAGUCAGAGGCGAUGAAGGACGUGCUAAUCUGCGAAAAGCGCCGGCGAGGUGAUAUGAACCCUUGACCCGGCGAUGUCCGAAUGGGGAAACCCAGUGUGAUUCGUCACACUAUCGUUAGCUGAAUACAUAGGCUAACGAGGCGAACCGGGGGAACUGAAACAUCUAAGUACCCCGAGGAAAAGAAAUCAACCGAGAUUCCCCCAGUAGCGGCGAGCGAACGGGGAGGAGCCCAGAGCCU